rnacentral:rRNA from 1 species
GUCCACGCCGUAAACGAUGUCUACUAGCCGUUGGAGAACUUGAUUCUUUAGUGGCGCAGCUAACGCACUAAGUAGACCGCCUGGGGAGUACGGCCGCAAGGUUAAAACUCAAAUGAAUUGACGGGGGCCCGCACAAGCGGUGGAGCAUGUGGUUUAAUUCGAUGCAACGCGAAGAACCUUACCAGGCCUUGACAUCCUGAGAACUUUCUAGAGAUAGAUUGGUGCCUUCGGGAACUCAGUGAC